UACGUAGGGUGCGAGCGUUAAUCGGAAUUACUGGGCGUAAAGCGUGCGCAGGCGGCUUUGCAAGACAGAUGUGAAAUCCCCCGGGCUCAACCUGGGAACUGCAUUUGUGACUGCAAGGCUAGAGUACGGCAGAGGGGGAUGGAAUUCCGCGUGUAGCAGUGAAAUGCGUAGAUAUGCGGAGGAACACCGAUGGCGAAGGCAAUCCCCUGGGCCUGUACUGACGCUCAUGCACGAAAGCGUGGGGAGCAAACAGGAUUAGAUACCCGUGUAGU
rnacentral:rRNA from 1 species